rnacentral:rRNA from 1 species
AUUGAACGCUGGCGGCAGGCCUAACACAUGCAAGUCGAGCGGAUGAAGGGAGCUUGCUCCUGGAUUCAGCGGCGGACGGGUGAGUAAUGCCUAGGAAUCUGCCUGGUAGUGGGGGAUAACGUCCGGAAACGGGCGCUAAUACCGCAUACGUCCUGAGGGAGAAAGUGGGGGAUCUUCGGACCUCACGCUAUCAGAUGAGCCUAGGUCGGAUUAGCUAGUUGGUGGGGUAAAGGCCUACCAGGGCGACGAUCCGUAACUGGUCUGAGAGGAUGAUCAGUCACACUGGAACUGAGACACGGUCCAGACUCCUACGGGAGGCAGCAGUGGGGAAUAUUGGACAAAGGGCGAAAGCCUGAUCCAGCCAUGCCGCGUGUGUGAAGAAGGUCUUCGGAUUGUAAAGCACUUUAAGUUGGGAGGAAGGGCAGUAAGUUAAUACCUUGCUGUUUUGACGUUACCAACAGAAUAAGCACCGGCUAACUUCGUG